ensembl:lncRNA
GGCAAUGGGGCUGCAGGCAUUGUCUGGGUGAGCCUCCACAAGGAAGCCCUGAAGUCCCUCCUGGCUCAAAGCAGCCCCAAAGAGAGCUGGGAGGUCUGCAAAGUCCAUGCUGGCAUUGUGGUCCGAGAUCGCUCGAAUGAGCCCCCGGCUGGGGGCCGCUCCCCACAGCACAGUGACCACAACCACAGGAAGCGGGAAGGCCGCAGGGUGCAUGGCAGCGGGAGGAGAGGCGGAGGGGGCCGAGUCCGGGUAACAGGAACAGAACCGGAGUUCUGCGCCCUCUCUGGCCCUCCUUCAGGAUCCCAGGGGUCCAACCACCCCCAGGUCCCACUUCCCAGCUACAUGGGGGCUCGGGGAAGGACCUCCGACUCGGGGAGUGAGGUACCCAACUAGUCUAUUGGAGCUGGGAGGGAGAGACUAAAAAUAAUCCUUUUCUGGUAUAGUAAUAAAACUGGGAAAGGGAACGGAGACCAGCACAGGUGACAGAAAAACUUCUGGAAGGGUGGAGCUCAAAGGGGCGGGACUUCCGGCCAGGUGGGCCGUCUUCCCAUCCCCUGGAAAAGAGUUUCCGGCAAAGAAAGUCAGGCCGCUUCCAGCAUUGGACGCUCACGACUAAGGACAUCCGGUUCUGUCCUCCUGGCCGCCGCGGUACCUUCAAGUCUUCGCGAGAGGCCUCAGCACCUUUCCCCCCCACCAGCUGACAUCUUCCUGAACCCAGGACACAGAGGGCAUGGCUGCCACGGCUUAGUGGAGACUGUUGCCCCACACUUCUAAGUGGAAUUAGCCACCUAGAACAAGUGCUGAGUGGGGUCUGACAUCAUCUUUCCGGAAGGAAACUCAGGCCUACAGGUAGAGGAGGCUGCAGGUGAAAAGAUUAUGAGGCCAGGAACAUGCAUCACAUGUUGAAGGAACAGCAAGCAGGCAGCAUGGCUGGAGCAGAGAGAAGCACUGACAGCAGUUGAGGAUGGAGGGAGCCAGAGGUCACCACAAAGCUUUGCAGACCAUGGUGAAGAGGAUUUUGUUCUAAAUGUGAUCAGAAGCGACUGUAGAAUUUGAACAAAGAGUGGGGUGUUCUGGUUUAUGUUUUCAAAAGAUCACAUGAUUUUGUUUCUUUUGUUAGUGUUUAUGAGCUUGAUGAUGACUUCAGCAUGUUUCAUCUGAUAAGGAUAUUUGAGCUGGAUACCAAAGCUGCGAUCUGAAGGAUGAGAAGAACUUACCCAAUGUUGAGGGGAAAUUAUUGUGUGGUAUAUAAAGACACUAAUGAGAGCUGAAAUCUGAAGAUGAGUGAAGCAUGUUCUUUUCAUAGGUCUGGGAAACAUUCAUUCGGUCUGAAGUCCAGAGUACAAAGGC